CCUGUUUAACAAAAACAUGUCUUUUUGAGUUAUUUUAAAAGUCUGACCUGCCCACUGAAAUUAUUUAAAUGGCCGCAGUAUUCUAACUGUGCAAAGGUAGCAUAAUCAUUAGUCUUUUAAUUGAAGGCUGGUAUGAACGGUUGGACGAGGUAUAAGCUGUUUCAUAUAAAUUUAUAAUAGAAUUUUAUAUUUUAGUCAAAAAGCUAAAAUUUAAUUAAAAGACGAGAAGACCCUAUAAAUCUUUAUAUUUUAAGUUGUUUAAAUUUUUUAGAUUAAUUUUAUUUUUAUAAUUUAGAGUAUUUUGUUGGGGUGAUAUUAAAAUUUAAUGAACUUUUAGUUGUUAAAAUCAUUAAUUUAUGAGUUAUUGAUCCAUUAAUAGUGAUUAUAAGAUUAAGUUACUUUAGGGAUAACAGCGUAAUUUUUUUGGAGAGUUCAUAUCGAUAAAAAAGUUUGCGACCUCGAUGUUGGAUUAAGAUAUAUUUUUAGGUGUAGCCGCUUAAAU
rnacentral:rRNA from 1 species